rnacentral:rRNA from 1 species
UUGGAGGGCAAGUCUGGUGCCAGCAGCCGCGGUAAUUCCAGCUCCAAUAGCGUAUAUUAAAGUUGUUGCAGUUAAAAAGCUCGUAGUUGAAUUUCGGAAUUCUUUUAUCGGUUGAAUCAACAGGUUCGUACUGAUUUUAAGAAUUUCUACCUUCUGGAGAACCUUAAUGUCAUUUAUUUGAUGUUUUGGGAAACCAGGACUGUUACCUUGAAAAAAUUAGAGUGUUUAAAGCAGGCUUAUGUCUGAAUAUAUUAGCAUGGAAUAAUGAAAUAGGACGGCAUGGUUCUAUUUUGUUGGUUUCUAGGAUCACCGUAAUGAUUAAUAGGGAUAGUUGGGGGCAUUAGUAUUCAAUUGUCAGAGGUGAAAUUCUUGGAUUUAUUGAAGACUAACUUCUGCGAAAGCAUUUGCCAAGGAUGUUUUCAUUAAUCAAGAACGAAAGUUAGGGGAUCGAAGACGAUCAGAUACCGUCGUAGUCUUAACCAUAAACUAUGCCGACUAGGAAUCGGACGAAGUUAAUUUUUUAAUGACUCGUUCGGCACCUUACGGGAAACCAAAG